GCAUGCCUUUAUAAACCAGAUUGUCCCAUACAGGCGGGAGAUUUGGAAACAACACUUUCUGUUUUACUACUCCUCGUGUCAAGUACAGAAAUACACAAAUUCUUCCAGACCGGUGCCAGGUACGCAAGAGUCAAAUAUGCAACUGUUGCGUUUAAAGUCAACAAAACAUCCGUGCAUAACAUACCUGACCUAUUCAGUUGGUACAAGAGUAUCGAAUUAAUGGGAGUCGGCGCCCAAAUGGACGCGUUAGACUUUAAAACGAAUAAAGAGUUGCUGUUUUUCUUCCACCGGAAAAAGACGGAGAUUUCGUGCAUAGAAGACCCGCACAGACUCCUCACCCAGCUGCGCGACCACGAUCUGGUGCCAGAGAAACUUUUUGAGAAUGUGAAAAAGAUGCGUUCUCGUAAGCAGAAGGAGAAGGGCUUCUAUGAGGUUCUGGACUGGGUGGAGAAAAAUAGACCUCAGGAAAUACAACAGUUCUGGCGCUGUGUGUUUGAAGAUCAUAUCCUUCAGCAGUACCCAACGCUACGUAUCCUCAGAAACAGUCUGCUGGACGGUUACUGGUUUUCAUUAUUAUACUAAUAUAAUAUUGAACUAUACUGAACUAUACUACAAUAGAUCAAGAAUGCGUUCAUAAGUACAGUACCUUUUUAUUCUUUUCUUUGUCCAGGCACUUUCAAACUCUAUGAGAAACCUCCGGAUGUUGAGACACUCACAGAGGAGGAAGACAGCGAAGGAAAGGCAGAGAAAGGAAAGGAGAAGAGCUACAAAAGAAAGGGAAGUAAAGAUGACAAAAGUAGUGAGGAUAGUGAUGAUCCUGGUCCUUCCUCUACUUCCACACCCAAGCGGAGGAAACCAGCCAAAAAACCCUCAUUCUGUAAGUCCCUGAACUACAGCAG
rnacentral:lncRNA from 1 species